CGUCAGGGCCCACGGAGUGCGGACUUACGAACCCCGCCAGGGCCGGAAGGCAGCAACGG
rnacentral:SRP_RNA from 1 species